rnacentral:rRNA from 1 species
UAGGGAAUCUUCCGCAAUGGGCGAAAGCCUGACGGAGCAACGCCGCGUGAGUGAUGAAGGUCUUCGGAUCGUAAAACUCUGUUAUUAGGGAAGAACAAAUGUGUAAGUAACUAUGCACGUCUUGACGGUACCUAAUCAGAAAGCCACGGCUAACUACGUGCCAGCAGCCGCGGUAAUACGUAGGUGGCAAGCGUUAUCCGGAAUUAUUGGGCGUAAAGCGCGCGUAGGCGGUUUUUUAAGUAUGAUGUGAAAGCCCACGGCUCAACCGUGGAGGGUCAUUGGAAACUGGAAAACUUGAGUGCAGAAGAGGAAAGUGGAAUUCCAUGUGUAGCGGUGAAAUGCGCAGAGAUAUGGAGGAACACCAGUGGCGAAGGCGACUUUCUGGUCUGUAACUGACGCUGAUGUGCGAAAGCGUGGGGAUCAAACAGG